CUGUUUCCUCUCCCCUGACCAGAGGCACUCUCUAAAUUGGAUAAAGAGUCAGCAGAGUCUGGUAGGCAGCACCACUAAGCUGCUGGGACAUCCAGGCUGCAGCUCCUGCGUUGAGAAGACACUACUGAGCCUCUGCAUCAUGAAUUCUGUGUCAGAAGCAAAUGGCACUUUUGCCAUCCAGCUUUUGAAGACUCUCUGUCAAAACAACCCUUCCAAAAAUGUAUGUUAUUCUCCGGUGAGCAUCUCCUCUGCUUUAGCUAUGGUCCUCUUGGGGGCAAAGGGAGAGACUGCAGCCCAGAUAUCUCAGACACUUGGUUUGAAUACCAAAGAAAACAUCCAUCAAGGCUUCCAUUGGCUUCUCAGCAAUCUGAACCUGCCAUGCAGAAAGUACGCCCUCAGCAUGGCCAACAGACUCUUUGCAGAGAACACUUGUGAAGUGCUCUCAGUAAGUUGCAGCAGU